UACGUAGGGAGCAAGCGUUGUCCGGAAUUACUGGGUGUAAAGGGAGCGUAGGCGGGUUUGCAAGUUGAAUGUGAAAUUUAUGGGCUCAACCCAUAAACUGCGUUCUAAACUGCAUAUCUUGAAUGGAGUAGAGGCAGGCGGAAUUCCUAGUGUAGCGGUGGAAUGCGUAGAUAUUAGGAGGAACACCAGUGGCGAAAGCGGCCUGCUGGGCUUUAACUGACGCUGAGGCUCGAAAGCGUGGGGAGCGAAC
rnacentral:rRNA from 1 species